rnacentral:lncRNA from 1 species
UUUUUAUUUAACUUUCUCCCUGCCCAGAGCUUCUCUUCACUGACUGUCUGGGACAAGCCAGCGCCGUGGAGCUGUCUCUUUUUCAUUUCUCAGCCUCACUGGCCAUUCCAGGUAUCUGCUGAUGGGGCUCUUGGCCCUUAUAGCCAAGCUGCCCAAGACUUGACUUGCUCUUUUUACCAAAAAAAAAAAAAAAAACUAUUUCCACUAAACCACUGAGCAUUUCAUAUGUCGUAAUUUUAAAGCCACUUCUUUACUCAUUUCUUCCGUUUAUUUGCCUAGUCCUCAAGAAAUAUUUGCUUGAUGUGACUUCUUGGAACCAAAUGUUGGUACCCAACUGAAAGGGAUGGAGCCCUCCGAACUUGGAAGUUCCGCUGAGGAUGAGGGCGGCCGCCAUUUUGAAACGAACAGACUCCAAAAGCACGCUCCACUGGGCCUGCCCCUGCGAUCUUAAAACAGAUGUCCGUGAAAUGUGACCCAUGAAUAGCAGUUAUCUGGAGAGAGAGCUCUGAAGCUGAUGAAACCAUUAGAGCCACUGAAGGCACCUGGUAAAUGCGAUGCGGGGAGUACAGAAGAGAGAAUCAGAAACACACCGGCACUCUCAUUCCCAUGAGGCCACUUACAGUGGGUAAAACGUCGCUUGAGAAGAGCGGCAGCUCCAGCCUGAAUGAGAAGCACGUCCUCCUGGGAGUUACGUCAGCAGCCUGACCUUCCAUCUUCCUCCUCUAAAGAAGCGUCCCUGCCACCCUGAGCACGAAGCCCUCGGGUUCCUAAAGGCCGAGGCGCUUCUUCUCAUUUACUUCCCUUGAGGAAGAAAGACCAGCCCAUCCACCCUCAUUUCCCACCGAAGGGCAUCGCAAAUAAAGUUUGCCCACGCAACCAGGCCACCACCAUUAAUUUCUCUCUGCCCUGCUCUUACAUUCUCCUCAAGGUUUUCAGUCCCCUAGAGAGGCUCCCUUCCCUCUUUUCUUUCCUUCCUCCAGCCCCCCUUUUCACCUCCCUCCACCAUUGUUUGAGGUUAAGAAGCAUGCUACGGUGUUCUAUAAAUCACUUGGCAAGAGUAGACGACAAAAGCAAAAUAUAAUUCAGAUUAAAGUCAUCCUCCCGCUGAAAUGAUAGUUUCUUAAAUAAAUGGCGAUGCUGCCUAUCAAUCUUGCUGGCAACUGGUCCUCUCAUAUUCAUCUUUCUGGGGGUGAUUUAGGAUCCACCUGGGUCCUCCGAGAAGAUUCUCCCAUCAUUUCCUUCCCGUCUCUCUGGAUCUUGCUGCUGGGCUUGGCGCAGUUGACAAAUUCUCCAAGUAAUCCCUCAAAAGAUUGGAGAAAUGCUCCGAACGCUCCAUUAAACUUAUUUUCCAUGCUUUAAGAGACCCAAAACUAUGUCCAAUAAAUAAG